GCAAACUUGGUCAUUUAGAGGAAGUAAAAGUCGUAACAAGGUUUCCGUAGGUGAACCUGCGGAAGGAUCAUUAAAGUAAGAUUUAUAUACAAAAUCUGAACUUUUGUGGUAAUAAUGGAAAAGAAAUGAUUUGGGUUUAAAAAUGGUGUUCUCUGAUUUUCUUUUAUUUGAAUUUAAGAGAGUAUCGACCUAAAAACUUAUAAACUCUAUAUUAUUAUUGUGACUGAUAUAUCAAGUAAAAUAAUUCAAUUUGAUUGGAUUAAAAAAGUUAUAAAUAACUUUCAACAACGGAUCUCUUGGUUCUCGCAUCGAUGAAGAACGCAGC
rnacentral:misc_RNA from 1 species